AUUGAACGCUGGCGGCAGGCUUAACACAUGCAAGUCGAGCGGAGUGAUGGUGCUUGCACUAUCACUUAGCGGCGGACGGGUGAGUAAUGCUUAGGAAUCUGCCUAUUAGCGGGGGACAACAUCUCGAAAGGGAUGCUAAUACCGCAUACGUCCUACGGGAGAAAGCAGGGGAUCACUUGUGACCUUGCGCUAAUAGAUGAGCCUAAGUCGGAUUAGCUAGUUGGUGGGGUAAAGGCCUACCAAGGCGACGAUCUGUAGCGGGUCUGAGAGGAUGAGCCGCCACACUGGGACUGAGACACGGCCCAGACUCCUACGGGAGGCAGCAGUGGGGAAUAUUGGACAAUGGGGGGAACCCUGAUCUAGCCAUGCCGCGUGUGUGAAGAAGGCCUUAUGGUUGUAAAGCACUUUAAGCGAGGAGGAGGCUCUUUUGGUUAAUACCCAAGAUGAGUGGACGUUACUCGCAGAAUAAGCACCGGCUAACUCUGUGCCAGCAGCCGCCGUAA
rnacentral:rRNA from 1 species